CACGCCGUAAACGAUGAUAACUCGCUGUUGGCGAUAUACUGUCAGCGGCCUAGCGAAAGCGUUAAGUUAUCCACCUGGGGAGUACGAUCGCAAGGUUGAAACUCAAAGGAAUUGACGGGGGCCCGCACAAGCGGUGGAGCAUGUGGUUUAAUUCGAUGAUACGCGAGGAACCUUACCUGGGCUUGAAUGCAUUUUGACAGGCUGGGAAACCGGCUCUCCUUCGGGCAAUUUGCAAGGUGC
rnacentral:rRNA from 1 species